AACGCGAAGAACCUUACCAGCCCUUGACUUCCCGAUCGGGGGACCAGAGAUGGACCUCUUCAAUUGGUCGGUGACAGGUGGUGCAUGGUUGUCGUCAGCUCGUGUCGUGAGAUGUUGGGUUAAGUCCCGCAACGAGCGCAACCCUUGAUCUUAGUUGCCAGCAUUCAGUUGGGCACUCUAAGGUGACUGCCGGUGACAAACCGGAGGAAGGUGGGGAUGACGUCAAAUCAUCAUGCCCCUUAUGACCUGGGCUACACACGUGCUACAAUGGACGGUACAAUGGGCUGCCACUCCGCGAGGAGGCGCGAAUCCCAUAAAGCUGGUCUCAGUUCGGAUCGGAGUCUGCAACUCGACUCCGUGAAGCCGGAAUCGCUAGUAAUCGCGUAUCAGCUACGACGCGGUGAAUACGUUCCCGGGCCUUGUACACACCG
rnacentral:rRNA from 1 species